rnacentral:misc_RNA from 1 species
CACUCUCUCACACACUCACAGACGGUUCAGAAGUCUUAUAUUACAACAGCCUCCACCUCAGCCUCUCAUCCCACACUUUUCCUUGUUGACACACACACACUCUGUCUCGCUCUCACUCUUUCACUCUCACACGACCAGCGCGCACAUGCCGAGAGCAAGAAUAAGCUACGUUAAUACACUAUAACUAAGGUGGUUGCCUGUUUUAGCUUUUAUUUCCUGAAUGGAUCUACAUCAUGUCGACCCCGUCUCAAGACCCUUACCCGGAUAAGGAGAGAGUCAGUAGCACUGAGUUACCCAUGGAAGAACGUAGCCAGACCCGAGCACGUCCCGUGCCACCCGUACCCGAGAGACCAGCCUCUAUCAGGGUGUCUAAACAUGGCCAAGAUAAAAGGGACAGUUCUCAGCUCAAUACUUCUGCUACUACUCAGUCGAAAGUGCCCCUGGCAAGACCCAUUCCACCAAUUCCCACCAAGAAACCUGGGAAACCUCCUGUACCUGUAUGUCCUCCACGCCCAAAAGUUGAUGGUGAGACCUCCACUAAUCAUAGAAGUGUUGUUGGCCCCGAUUCAAGCUUUGAUUCUGUUCAUUCCACUCAUUUACCACCAGAUCGCCCUACACCAGUUACUCGCAAGCUUUCCAAACAUGGCGCACCCCCACAACGCCCAAAUGUCCCACCGAUAGUGAAAAUUUCUUCGACUUUCUUGUCCUCCUCUUCAUCAUUACCCUCUUCUUCUACUUCCAAAACACCACUUUCAAGACCGCAGUCAGUAGUGCCAACUGUCAGCAGUCAUGAGAACCCUUUACAGUCCAGUGCAUCCGUGGAUCACUGUACUAAAUCACAUUGCCCACCACCCAGGCCCCAGCCUCGUACUUCAAUAAGUCACAGUUCCAGUUCCUCUUCAGAGAAACUCACAUGUGUUACCCCUCCGAAACCCCAGCCUCGGAAGAGAGUACCUUCUGCUGCAGUAAAUACUCCCCUACCACGUAACAGCUCUAAUAAUCUGAAUGAUAAUAAUAAUAAUACCAACAUUAAUAACAAUAAUAAUCUGAAUGAUGUUAAUAACAAUGUAAAUAGUAAUGCUGAGGAACUUUCUGCUGCCUCGACACUACUAACAACAACUUCUGUUGAUGCACCUAACACAACUGAUGAACUCAUAAAAGAUAAAUCACCUCCUAACUCUUUAUCUCUUGCCAUACACAAAGCUUCAAAAAACGAAACUAGCUGUAAUUCUGAACAUCAGGCCCCUUCUACUGUUUCACUUGAAAAUUCUGUUAGUAAUUUGACUGCUGAUUCCCACAAAGCCUUAUCUUCAACCCCUGAUCCCCAGUUUAUUUCACCUCCAAAAUGUGCCACCGAAACUGCUUCUAGUGACCCUGUAGACUUAAAUCAAAUUGCAACUACAGAUUCAUUUCCACAUUCCCAGCAAAAUUCUGAUUUUCCAGUGCCAACACCAAGACUAAAACAGCAGUUGGACACAAAACCAGAGAACAACAAUGACAAUUUCCGGACGUCGCCAAGUGAAGAAUUAUGUGAUUUUCAAUUGCCAUCAUUAGAAGAUCCAGUUUCAAGCAAAUCCUGUGGGAAACGUCCAACAAUUAUUAGACCUGUUGAAAAGUCAGAUCCAGUAUGUUCUAGUGAAGAACCAAUUGGAUUGUCUUCUGGUAAACGAGAAAGUUUACCUAGACCUUCACGUCCUCCUCUUCCUGCAAACAGAAAUACUCUGAAGAAUUCUUCUUUAAGGAGACCUUUACCCAGACCACCACCACCUAUACCAAAGGCAGAACCUGUUUCUACAAAUGAAUCCAGUUUUCCAGCACCUUUGCAUGGCAGUAGUGAUCUCUCGGCCAAACCACAGCCAGGGAUGAAGAAACCUUCAAAGUCUUCUGAAUCUGCAAAAUCUCCAGGUACAAAGGGAAAUGAGGGCUCUACAAAAGAGCCAGAGACAAAAGUAGAUAGUGCAAGUCGUUUAAAAAACUUCUUUUCCAGAAAAGGCUCAACACCCUCACCUCCGGCAAGUGAUAAAAAGCCUGUAGCUGCGAAGAAUCGAAAAGCUGCUGAGAUGCUCCAAACAACCAAAGAUUACACUAAACGCAUCUCUGAGACUUUGGGAUUAACAGCUGAGAAACCUUCAGCAGUCUGGUACACUGAACAACCGCCUGAAUCAGAACAGCAAGUCAAACCACCCCAGAAGCCGCCCCAUAAGCACCCCCAGAAGCCACCACCUAAGCCCCCCCAUAAAUCUCAGUUAGGGCCAACAACUUGGUAUGUGGAUCCAGAAGAAUCAACAAGAUCUCAAAAGAAAAAGAAAGUUCCUGGAAGACCACCAUGCAGUCCAUUAGAAAUGACAAAGGCAGAUGACCAACAGCCAUUACAGACAACUGAUGAGAUAGAUGACAGCCCCCAACAGAAAUCAGAUAGAGACUCUUCAGGAAACAAAAACAGUAGUAAUGCCUUUGAAAAAUAUCACAACUCUUUUAAGACAUCAAUUGAAAACCUUUCUAAAUCCUAUGAAGGUUCUCAGACAUCUCUCUUAGAUCUUGACGAUAAAGUUUACGUAGAUGAUAAGAAAAUAUUGCAUCCAAAGUCAGAUAUUCAGAAGAGGCGUCCACCUGAGCCACCAAGACCAAAAUCACUACCAAAUUCAGAUUUAUCUAAACAACCUUUGCAAAAACAUACCUGCCCAGCAGUGGCACCUCCUCCAAAACCCAAAGUUCCUCCUCAGAAACAAGAAAUAAUACUAGACACACCACCAUCACCCGUUCCAAAAACGUCAGAAAUAGACUCCAAGAACACAAAUGUAGCGUUAAAAGAAACUGGAGAUUUGGAAGACACAAAUGUUAAAAGUGAAUCUUCUGGGGUACUUGAUUCGAUCAACCAAUUUGAACAUGCUCCAAAUUCAUUGAUAUCUCCUCCAAAAUCACCUAAACCUGUGGACGACACGUCCAAUAUUUGUGAUAAUAUAAAAACGACAGAAAUGCAACCAAAUCAAAGUGAAACUGCAGAUGUUAUAAACACGUCUCAGGAAAAUCUUGUUUGUUCUGAUGAGAAUGAAAACUUAACAAACGUUAUUCAAAACGAGACUUUUAAUGAAAUGGCUAACAACAAUUUCUCUUCUUCAAAAUCUAAUUUGACGCAGGAAACAAUUGAGUUGGUUGAUGAAAAUGCUAAUGAAAAUGCGGCUGACUCUACGACCUCAGGUGACUUAACUGAAGCAGAACUCAAAAUUGAAAAUUCCAUUACUAAACAAUCUUUGCCUUACAACAAAAUGUCCAAUAGCCUUAAUACUCGCAGUGUGAAUCUGAUAAAGGACUUAAAGAGUAGUUUUGAGAAAUCUUCAUUGGAAGGUUCUACUGAAGACAUAGAGGAAAGCUCAGUGACAGCAACAGCAGAUGAUUCAACUCGAGAAGGGGAGAGCUCAGUACAAGAAAUGCUUGACCAUACAGAUAAUGUUGUGCAGAACUCGCUUGAGGUUGAGGAUAGCUCUUCAGUUAUUGCAGAGGGUUUGCAUGAAAGAGCUGUGGAGAGUUUGUUUGAUGUAAAACCAAAUCAAGCAGUGGAAAGUUCCUCUGAAGUGGUUCAAGAUACAAAUAAAAUGAAUUCAGGGAAAGAUCCAGAAAUUAAGAUCAAAUUGAAACCCAAACCACAGAGGCCACCUUCUUUACCUUCAUCACUCUGCUGCACAUCAGUAAAAGCCAGUUUGAAGCAAGACACUCAACUUCCAAAUGUUGCCACAGGAGAAGUUUCUGCACAGACAGAUAAAAUGUCAGUUGUAGGUAAACAGAAAUCUAGCAUUGCUGACACUGCUAGGAUGAAGGUAACAGAACCUUGUGCAGUUGCAGAAUUUAAUUUUGAAGCUCAAGAACCGGAUGAAUUAUCUCUAAAGACUUUGCUUUCUUUUCUAUUACUGAAUAUACAGAAAGGUGAUCGUGUGAGAUUACUUACCUGGGUAGAUAGCAGUUGGUUAUAUGGUACCUGUAAUGGCUUCAGUGGAAUCUUCCCAAAAGGCUUUGUAAAAAUUAUUCAGCCACUGUCCAACCCUCCAACUCCAGUUAAUGCUAACAACAAUUCAUGUGGAACUGAUCCCGAUUCAGUGCCAGCCAAAGAAAACUCCAACGAUGCUACCGCUUCUGAUGCUACUGAAGUCAUGGCCUUCGAUAACACCCUCUAUGCAAGCCUGUCAGAAGUUACCACUGGCACUAUUGCUCCAACUAAACUGGAUUCUCCUGCUCUGAAGGAUCAAGAACAAAUUAACUGUGACUUUUUAAGUCCAACUCAGUCACAAAUAAAUUUCGAUGCUCACUCUCAAAACGAUGCUUCAAACAGCCUUGACGAUGAGACAACAGAUUCUGAGGUGAUCAGCAAAGUUGACUUCCCUGUCGGGGGAGAGGAGACCAUAGCCAUCACACUGUAUGACUUUGAAGGAGAAGAAGGAGAGCUAAGCUUCAAGGCUCAGCAAGAAGUGACAGUUCUAAAGUGGGUCAACAACGAUUGGCUUUGGGGAAGGAUAGGUGACAAAACCGGAAAUCUGCCAGCUAAUUUCGUGGACUUUGUUGCAGACAACAGUUUUGAGGAAAACCUAGAACCCAUUGAUAACCUAGAACCCAUUGAGCCCUUAAUGAAUCCACCAGCCCCUUCAACUGAUACGAAGAUAAUGAAGACGACAUAGCUCCUACAUACAAAGUUGUUAAAGCCCUUUUUGAUUUUAAAGGAAUAGCUGAAGAUGAGCUGUCAUUUGAGGCUGGUGAUCUGAUUUUCUGUCUUGGUGAAGUGAAGAGCUGUCCCGGCUGGAGUCAAGGAACUCUCAAUUCUCAGACUGGAAUUUUUCCAACUAAUUUUGUAUCAGCCCCUAUUUCAAACCCCUGAUACAACUUUUUUC